GAAGAGGGUAAAUGUGACUGCUUACUGAUAUUGCUGAUGGGGAUGUGAAACUUGAGCCCAUUAAGCUAAAUUUAGUGACAGUAAUAGGCAAACUUAGAAUUAUAAUUUCUUUAGGAGGAACUGCAGUGUAAUAAAAGAGAGUCAAGUAAGCUGAAAAAAACCCUAUUCCUGGAUGUUCUUGGCAUAGGUGCAAGCUCUGCUGGACAUGUUAUCCAAUGAAGAAAAAAGGAUUUGGGAGUUGCCACAAGAAUCAGCAAGACAGAUGAGAAGGAGAGAGUUUAAGUUUCUUCUGAUUCUUCUUCCUAAAGCUUAAAAGACUGAACUUCGGAUGAAUGAAGAUGCCUCCUUUUCAAUGAGCCAACUAGAAAUUAAAUUAUUGAAAUUAUUAAAUUCAUAAUUAUCACAAGAAUAUGGCUCCUUUUCCCCAUCAAUUUUUGUAGUCUUAGUCAUUUUCUGUAUGUUUAAAGGCCUAUUGGAAAAUGCUUUAAUUUUUACAUUCUCACUUUAGUUAACCAAAAUAUUCUAGAAAAGCUGAAUUUCAAAUUCUAUGUGGCCUAUUUGUUAUUGAAGACAGACUAAGGGGUGUAUACAUUUCAGCAUGAGCAAAAGUUUCACAAGGUUCUGUUCAGAAGGCAUUCUUACAUCAGUUUAAAUUUAAAUCCACUAUGGAUUCUAGAGUCAGGCACAACAUAAGUUUUCUUUUUUUCUAGUCUUGAUCAAAAGGUAUUCUCCUCUUACAAAAAAAAAAAAAAACUUCACAUUAGCAAAUCAUACUUUGCAGUGAUCGUUAUAAUUUUUAGUCAUUCUCAUGCAGUAGCCUAUAAAUCACAGAGGUCACCAGACCCUACUAACUCACCUUCUAACAUCUUUGGAUGCUCCCCUGACUUCUGUUGGUCAUUGCAACAUCUGUAACUCUUUUCACCAGCUUUUAAACAAAUGCAGAUUACUUUUACAGGACUCAGUUUUGGUAAAGGAAAUUUUCUACUUUCUCAUAUUAAUAACCACAAAAACUGAUUGCAACUGUAUUUCUGUUCUCAUGAAAUUUCUGCUAAAUGGUGACAUUCUACAAACUCUUUUAGAAAGCUGUAAGAAAAAGUAGACAAUAUAAAUGAAAAGUUAAAUAUUUUUAUUCUUUCAACAGACUACUAUAAACAAUGCUAUUUUCUAAAAUACACUUAUUGUCAUGGUAUCUACUGAAGUGCAAUAUUCAUGACCUAACAAUGAUAUUUUUCUUCUUAUAUGUAUGUUAAAUGUCUCUGGGGAUACAUGUUUCAUUCCAAGUAUGAUCACAUAUUUAAUAUUACUAAAAGGGACUUAGCUUUGUCUAUGUAACUUCGCCGUCAUCUACUUUUUCUUUCUGCUUGCACCUAUUUAACAAUUCUAUGUUUUCAAAGCUUAAAAUAUGUCAUCUUUUUUCUGUUUAUAGAAUUCUGUGCCUUAGACUAGAAAAGUGUAAUGGAAGUCAAACCUCCCAUUUACAUUUAAUAUCAAUGCUAUUUUCUAGACCAAGAAUGGAUUAUUUACCCACCAUUAUGAGAGCUCUGAUCUAAUGAAAUAUGUAUAUGUGUAUACAGAAGAUGGAAAGUUAGCAGAGAUGUACAUAUUCAAGUCAAAAUCAAAAGUUUUGGCUGCAGCUGAGAUUAUG